CGCUAUCACUCCUACGGGGAGGCAGCAGUAGGGAAUCUUCCACAAUGGGCGCAAGCCUGAUGGAGCAACACCGCGUGAGUGAAGAAGGGUCUCGGCUCGUAAAGCUCUGUUGUUAAAGAAGAACACGUAUGAGAGUAACUGUUCAUACGUUGACGGUAUUUAACCAGAAAGUCACGGCUAACUACGUGCCAGCAGCCGCGGUAAUACGUAGGUGGCAAGCGUUAUCCGGAUUUAUUGGGCGUAAAGAGAGUGCAGGCGGUUUUCUAAGUCUGAUGUGAAAGCCUUCGGCUUAACCGGAGAAGUGCAUCGGAAACUGGAUAACUUGAGUGCAGAAGAGGGUAGUGGAACUCCAUGUGUAGCGGUGGAAUGCGUAGAUAUAUGGAAGAACACCAGUGGCGAAGGCGGCUACCUGGUCUGCAACUGACGCUGAGACUCGAAAGCAUGGGUAGCGAACAGGAUUAGAUACCCUGGUAG
rnacentral:rRNA from 1 species